GCCGGGCGUGGUGGUGCGCGCCUGUAGUCCCAGCUACUCAGAGGCUGAGGGAGGAGAAUGGCAUGAGCCCGGGAGGCGGAGCUUGCAGUGAGCCGAGAUCACGCCACUGCACUCCAGCCUGGGUGACAAAGCGAGACUCUGUCUCAAAAAAAAAAAGAAAAAAAUUUAAAUAGCUUUAACACAAUUUUUUUUUUUUUUUUUUGAGACGAAAUCUCACUGUGUCGCCCAGGUUGGAGUGCAGUGGCGUGAUCUCGGCUCACUGCAACCUCCACCUUCCAGUUCCAGUUCUCCUGCAU
rnacentral:SRP_RNA from 1 species